GUCCGCUAGCGUAGUAGUGGUUAGCGCACUCGGCUCACAACCGAGGGGCCAGGGUUCAAUCCCCUGGGCGGACG
rfam:Enterospora canceri strain GB1 scaffold_375, whole genome shotgun sequence.